CGGCAGGCCUAACACAUGCAAGUCGAGGGGUAACAGAGAGAAGCUUGCUUUUCUGCUGACGACCGGCGCACGGGUGAGUAACGCGUAUACAAUCUGCCUUAUACAGAGGGAUAGCCUUUAGAAAUGAAGAUUAAUACCUUAUAGUCUAUUUUUAUAGCAUUAUAUAAAUAGUAAAGCUUCGGUGGUAUAAGAUGAGUAUGCGUCCUAUUAGUUAGUUGGUAAGGUAACGGCUUACCAAGACAACGAUAGGUAGGGGCCCUGAGAGGGGGAUCCCCCACACUGGUACUGAGACACGGACCAGACUCCUACGGGGGGCAGCAGUGAGGAAUAUUGGACAAUGGAGGCAACUCUGAUCCAGCCAUGCCGCGUGCAGGAAGACGGCCCUAUGGGUUGUAAACUGCUUUUAUAUAGGAAGAAACCUUUUCACGUGUGAGAAGCUGACGGUACUAUAAGAAUAAGGACCGG
rnacentral:rRNA from 1 species